rnacentral:rRNA from 1 species
AUCCGGAAUCAUUGGGCGUAAAGCGCCUGUAGGUGGUUUAAUAAGUCUGUUGUUAAAGACUAGGGCUUAACCCUAGGAAAGCAAUGGAAACUAAUAGACUAGAGUAUGGCAGGGGUAGAGGGAAUUUCUAGUGUAGCGGUGAAAUGCGUAGAUAUUAGAAAGAACACCAGUGGCGAAAGCGCUCUACUGGACCAUUACUGACACUCAGAGGCGAAAGCUAGGGUAGCAAAAGGGAUUAGAUACCCCUGUAGUCCUAGCCGUAAACGAUGGAUACUAGAUGUUGUGUUUUCUCACAGUGUCGCAGCUAACGCGUUAAGUAUCCCGCCUGGGGAGUACGCUCGCAAGGGUGAAACUCAAAGGAAUUGACGGGGGCCCGCACAAGCGGUGGAGCAUGUGGUUUAAUUCGAUGCAACGCGAAGAACCUUACCAGGGCUUGACAUACUGCAGAUCUUUUUGAGAAAGAAGAGUGCCUUCGGGAAUGCAGAUACAGGUGGUGCAUGGCUGUCGUCAGCUCGUGUCGUGAGAUGUUGGGUUAAGUCCCGCAACGAGCGCAACCCUUAUUUUUAGUUACCAACUUGUUGGGUUCUCUAGAAAGACUGCCGGUGACAAACCGGAGGAAGGUGAGGAUGACGUCAAGUCAGCAUGCCUCUUAUGUCCUGGGCUACACACGUGCUACAAUGGUUAAGACAAAGAGUCGCGAGUUCGUGAGAACCAGCUAAUCUCGUAAACUUAGCCUAAGUUCAGAUUGUAGGCUGCAACU